GAUCCUUGGCUCAGGAUGAACGCUAGCUACAGGCUUAACACAUGCAAGUCGAGGAGCAGCAUGACGAUAGCUUGCUAUUGUUGAUGGCGACCGGCGCACGGGUGAGUAACGCGUAUCCAACCUGCCCUUGUCCAUCGGAUAACCCGUCGAAAGGCGGCCUAACACGAUAUGCAGUUCUCAGCAGGCAUCUAACGAGAACGAAAUGUGAAGGAGAAGGAUGGGGA
rnacentral:rRNA from 1 species